AGAGGAAGAGAGACAAAGGCACCAGGCCUGCAUCUGAUGAAAUGUCCGGUGCUGGAGCCCUCAGUGGUGCAAUGGGUUAAACACUUGUGCCGGCAGGACUGCAGACUGAAAUGUUGGCGGUUUGAAUCCUGACAUGAAAAAAAACUCAAAGUCUCCAUGUUUUUUGUCACAAGGAUAUUCACACAUUCAAGUAGUUGCUUCCAUCCAAUAUCCACUGAACUGCUAAAACUGAACAGACUAGCUCUGGCAGAAGAGCCCUCUCUGAAAGACCCCAUAGAGUUCCAGGAAGGCAAGUACAGAAGAAUCCAAAAAGGCACCAACACGAUUUGGCAAUAACCAUGUUCUGAUGAAAUGCCUUGGGCAGCAAUUCAUUAAUAAAGAACAGUCUGAAAAUACGCAACUGAACCAAAAAAAAGCAAAAUUAGAAAAUGAAGUCAUAUGGAUUCUAUUCUAACAAGAACAGCAGCUUCUUGCAGUUCUUUCAUAUUGCCUGGACUAUCUAUAAUCUGAGCUCACGCUGAUCCCCAAGAGUUUCUAUUAUAGCCUAACAGCUGGCAGAUGAAAACGGGGGUACAUAUACUGUCUUCAAGAAGCUGGCUGCUCCUAGGGGGUCUAGAAACAUGUUCCUGUGCCCCAAUAUGCCUGAGUAUAGUAGCUUAAAACUGUACAACCUCCCACAAAGUCAAAAGCAGAUUUUUACAUUUUGAUGUUACCAAUUAUCUGUAAGCCUAGGGAUCUGAGGAAGAAGACUCACAAGAAUGGUGGGGGCCUCCAUGUGAGAGGAGAAACAUCUACAUCUACAUUUUCAAUAAUUUGUCCCUCACAUGAAAAUAUGAGUAGUAACUAAAACUAGAAAAAAUGGGAGGUUAGACUUGGAAAAUUAGGCAAUCUGCUUUAUCAUGUAUUCUAUUAACAUAAUCACCACACCACACACUAAAAUGUAGUAGACAAUUAUGAGCAGUGUAUGGUCACCUCAUCUCAUACAGAAGAAUACAGGGAGGAGCACUUUUUUAUAUAAAGCUGAUACACACACACACACACACAAACACCCAAUUAGUAAACUUUUGUAGUUUCAUUAUUAUUUUUACUGCUUGUUAAUGAGUAAGCUACUACAGGAACUCCCCGAGUUACAAACAUCCAACUUACAUAUGGCUCAUAGUUAAGAACAGAGAUGUGACAACAGGAAGUUAGAGAAAUCUACUCCUAGGAAGGGAAAUUUUCUCUUGUAAGAGUUGUCAUGGGAAAAGGGUGUCUCAACUGAAGCCAAUCUUUGUUUCCACAACAACCUAAAUUUUUCAAAAUCCAAUUAUCACAGGGACAGAAAGAGAGGUGAAACUUCCUGAACAGGGGCACAGACAGCAAAGCAAACAUGACAGGGGUGUUAACCCCUAUGCUCUCUGUUCUGUCCCUGCACUAAGUAUUAAUCUGGAAGGUACUGUGGUACAGGGAGCAGAUUAGAAACUAUAUUGAUCAUUUAAAAAGCAAUAUUUUUCUUAACAGACAAAACUUAAACUUCUUUUCCUCCUGGGUAUUACUAUAAAGUCUCUGUGAGGAAAGGCAAGUUCUUGAGGUAUGCACACAGUUCUGGUUCUUGGAUCUUUUCUCUUUCUCGGUGACUGUUGCUUGUAGUUGCCUGCUUCUCUUUUAGAUGUUAUUGAUGUUUAACUUGACUUGAUGUUAUUUCUCUAUAUAGCUCCAAUAUGAUGUACUGUUUCCCAAUAUAGCUCUGACGUGACAUACUAUUUUGUAAAUCUUCCCAUCCUUCUCACUCUUUACCUUCCAAUGCUACACUAACUGAACACACCAACUCUCACUUUUUGAAACCAAAAGGUUCAGGGCUCAGGCCCUGCCCCUCAAAAGAUCCUUAAAGGGGCAGGGCAUGAGAGGCUCUAAAUGCAAGGGGUGAAAGACUAUCUAAAGUGACCCUCUUCAGAACUGUACAUACAGAAAGAAAUUUUAAAGAUCAAAUCAGAGGGUGUUGUGGUUUUUAGCUUUGAAUACAUUUUAAUCAGUUUAUUUUUAAUACCAUUAAUAUUUAAUUCUAUUUUAAUGUUUGUAUAUUUUUAGGUUUUAAAUUGUAUUGCAUAGGUUUUACUGUAAGCCACUUUGAAUCUUUUGUAGAGAAAGUGGGGUAUAAAUAAAUAUAAUAAUAAACAUAAAUACAACAACAACAACAUCAACAACAACAUCAACAACAACUGACCCCCAUUGACAUGGUUGGUCAUACAUGGUUUUAGAGUUGGACUUAGACUUGGGCAAGAGUGAUUGCUAACAUCUGCAUUUUUGGUGUGAGAUUAAGAUGAUUACGGUCAUGAAGUAGGUCUUUGUCCUCUGAGGUGAUACAGGUAAUGUGCUCAGUAUUUGGCUUUGUUAUUAUAAUAGCUGAUGUAUUGCUGAAUCUUUUUCUGGUCUUCAGACCAAGAAUCAGAAUUUAAAUAACUGUGUUCAUUAAAAAGAAAAUACAUUUCUGUUCAUUAAAAAUUAUCUUAUGUCGUCUACCUUUUAAAAGAAAGCUAAUUUAUGUAUUUAUUUCUUAUUUAGAACUAUCAUUCCAUGAAAGUCUUUCCCUUGGAACAGAAUAGGUGUUACCUAUUUUUUUUUACCAACAUGAGCUCUGUCAUACCUAAAAGGUGAAUUAAAUAAGUCUCUGUGUGGUGUCUCCAUAGGCUAUACACCUUAGUUUUCUGAUAACGGUUCAACAAAUUCUCCCAUCCUUCACCUUGGCUUUUCCAUUUAGUCUCAGUGUGAGCAAAUUGUUCCUGGAAGCAGACAAUUCUGCCUGUUAUGAGGUAGCUGUAACAAACUAUUAUUUGAUCAAAUUGAUUGAAAAGCAAGAUGACCCAGCAAUGAUUAGAUCUGUGCCAUCUCACAAAAUUCCAAAAAUGUUGUACGAUCAGGGAUCACCUCUGACUCCCUUAAUCGCUUUCUUCUGAUCCUUACCUUUUGCUUCAAAUACAAGUUUGUGAAUGACUGUUUCUAAGUUACAGUAUCAAGCCUUAACCCUUAAUUAUGUCAAACAAGAAAGUAGUACACACAUUGCUGUGUUUGUGAUGAAAAAAAGACGGCUGUGCCAUACAGCAUCUUCUCUUUUAAAGUAACUUUCACAUUAAGAGGAGUAAGUGAAUCUGUAGAUGAUUAAAUCAGUAAUUGUUUAUAUUAGAGCGAAACUGCAGUGAUGAGAUUCUCAGUUUCAACUAUAGAUCCCUCAAGCAAGACUGAAAAUUUGGAUGAUUCUUUCCUAAAACAAAUUACCAAAUAUUCAAAAGAGACAGAUAUAUGUAAUAGUACUUGGGAACUUCCAUUACCCUGAUAUUUGUUGGGAAUCAUAUUCUUCCAAGAGUGUAAGAUCCAAUAAAUUCCUCGCUUAUAUUGCAG
ensembl:lncRNA